CUAGAAGGCAAAGAAAUCAUUUGGGAACAUUUUGUAUCUGUAUCUACAAGAGAAUGUAAAUAGAGUUUUACUAAUUACAAAGUUAAAUGCAGAUGCCAUUAACCUCAACAACUUUUCAAAAAUGAGAGUUAACCUAACAUAGCUGUACACACAUUAAGAAAUGCUGUUGCCAAAGAAAUGGAAGAAAAUGAAAAUGAGGUUCCUAAAGCC
rnacentral:lncRNA from 1 species